rnacentral:rRNA from 1 species
GACGAACGCUUGCGGCGUGCCUAAUACAUGCAAGUUGAGCGCUGAAGGUUGGUACUUGUACCAACUGGAUGAGCAGCGAACGGGUGAGUAACGCGUGGGGAAUCUGCCUUUGAGCGGGGGACAACAUUUGGAAACGAAUGCUAAUACCGCAUAAAAACUUUAAACACAAGUUUUAAGUUUGAAAGAUGCAAUUGCAUCACUCAAAGAUGAUCCCGCGUUGUAUUAGCUAGUUGGUGAGGUAAAGGCUCACCAAGGCGAUGAUACAUAGCCGACCUGAGAGGGUGAUCGGCCACAUUGGGACUGAGACACGGCCCAAACUCCUACGGGAGGCAGCAGUAGGGAAUCUUCGGCAAUGGACGAAAGUCUGACCGAGCAACGCCGCGUGAGUGAAGAAGGUUUUCGGAUCGUAAAACUCUGUUGGUAGAGAAGAACGUUGGUGAGAGUGGAAAGCUCAUCAAGUGACGGUAACUACCCAGAAAGGGACGGCUAACUACGUG